rnacentral:tRNA from 1 species
GCCUGGGUGGCUCAGUUGGUUGAGCGUCUGACUUCAGCUCAGCUCAUGAUCUCUCCGUCCGUGAGUUCAGGCCCCGCGUCAGGCU